GGAAAUGUGCCCGAGACAAUAAGGGAUACUUUGAUAGAGUACAUCACAGAGACUAAAGCCUCUCAUUUCCU
rnacentral:tRNA from 1 species